rnacentral:lncRNA from 1 species
GUCAGGCCACCAAAAGGUAGAGGGCAUGUAUGGCCCUAGCUCCUAAGCACGGCCGAAUUGAGGUCGUGCUCGCCCAGCCUGCGACUGGUAGUUUCUUAGGGCCAAGUGGUGCACCUCCGAGGAAGGAGUCCUCAACGUCGAGGGAUGUGCAGCCCCUUAGGUCCACCAUCCUGGGGGAUACAGUCCCUCAUCCUUCAGCUUCAUCAUUGCAGUGGAGUUCGGGUACUCUUCGAAUUUUAGUGCAAAUGUCGUCGCACCUAGCGCCCAGCCGACCUACCAGCUGAGAUUUCUAUUCCGAUGGGAACCCCAUCAAACGUCGAGGCCC